UAAAUCCAUGGGCAUGGGAGGGAAACUGAAAAUUCAUCAUCCAAAGUUCUUAUGUUGUAGGGCUAUUUGGAACACAGAAAAAAUAUGUGGCUGCCUGCUAGAGCCAAGGGUGAAGCAGAUAUUUCAAAAGUAGCAUGGCUGUUCCCGCAUUUGGAUCCCGUCCUUGAAAAGAUAACUCGUGUCUUCUUAGCACUUCUUAGCUUAGAUUGUGUUUUUCAAAUAUUUAGAUCAUUUGCCUCUAAUGCAGAUUUCACUGGAAUUUUGUUGAACCAUGACAUGAUUAUUUUUUUGGUAAAGAGUAUUUGCCCCACAUAGCUGUCUUUUAAAACAAAAACAAAACUAUGCUUCCCAGCCAUAGGCCAGCCACCACUGGCUCUGCAUGAUCAGGGUUGGCCUUGACUCAUGGUCCGAAAUCUUCUAUUUUCCUAGGAAAAUGUAUUGAGAGAUAAAUGACUUUAAGGGAUCCAAAAUUCCCUCCCACCCAAAAAAAUCAGAAGCUUGAUAACUUGAGAUUUAAGCCAAUAUAUUUGUUGGGGAAAUAGUGAUUGAUCACUUUUCCUGCAUUAUUUUCUCUACAGACAGAUUGGUCCAGUCUGGACAAUUAUAUAUUGGGUUAAUAAGCCAAGAUAUGCCCAAAAAUUUUACCCACGCAUGCAACUUGCCCUUUAUGGUGUACCUGAACACAAAGUGGAUAUCAUCAGUUAACCAUUUUUUCUCAUUUUGUCUGAACUGUAAAACUAUGAUUACCAAGUCAGGAACAAGCCAGAAAAUCAAACCGUUGUUGGCAGUUGGUUUAAGAUCUUGGCUUGUUCUGAACCUGGUUGUGGGAGUUCCCAGUUGGAAGAGAUGGACACUGUUGCUAAUUGAAGACUUGUACCUUGCAUUCAGAAACACCAAUGAAGGAAGUGGCUGCUUGCAUUGGUACCAGCUUUAUUCAUAUCUUGGUUUAUUAAGCCAAGAUAUGAUCAUCUGAAUACAGCUAAAAAUAGAAAUAUAUAUUUCUGAAGGUGAUCAUUGAAACCCAGCAUUAUCACAGUAACAUCACAUUAUAUCACAUCUGCAGGCAUAUCAGAAUGAGUGUCUUUGCCUGUGCUUUCUGUGGUACAAAUCUGGAUAAACUGGCUAGAAAAAUCACAUUAUCCUAAGUUCCUAUAAUCUGGAAGCUAGUGUUGAAAAAUGCUGAUUUCUUACAUCUUCCCCAUUCAGGAGCAGUAUCAAAAGUUUGCUGCACAUUCAUAGGAAUUUGAGUUUAAUUUUUAUAGCCAUACUGUAGUAGUAUGUUGAAAUUAUGGGGGGUGGGGGAGAGAGAGAAAGUAAGCGAGUAAAAGUCCAGAGUUUUUUAUUAGACUAAACAAGCAUUUUUUCAACCCUAGAAUUUGUAGUUUUUCUUGAGAGUGAGAAAUCUCGUGUUGUUUGAGCCAUCCCUUCAUCUUGGCUCCCCUGAUUUGCCCUCCCUUCUCUUCCAGAGAUUUGUGCCUGUGGAAUUAGCACAGGAACACAAAGUGGAUGUGGUCAUUCUAUCUUUAGUAUUCACUUUUUUGUGUGUGCAGCCUAGCUGUACAUAAUCAGACCCCUGUUGAGAGGGAAACAAAACUUUGGAAUAGUUUAUCAAAUAGCAACACAAGACCACAAAGGGGCAUCCUGAGGAAGUGGCAUCUUAAAGAUCAGAAGUUACCACCAGGUGGGUAACAAUGCUUCUUACCAGCUAAUCUGUGCUCUUAUCUGUCAAAGUUUGGAGCAGUUAACUCAAGAUCAAUCAAAAGGAUUACUAAAAUUUUCACACCCUCUCCCCAGAACUGUCCAGUGUACAGUCUUCUGUUAACAACAUGCUUGGAACCAAAGUGACCAUCCAUCCAUGACCCUUAUGGUGCUUUUAGAGCCUCUUUGAAGUGGAUUAGUCACUUCUAGACUGCUGAUCAAUGGAACCUGAUCUGAUCUCGUCUAUCCAGAAAUUAGUAUGCACCAGCUGUGCACUCUGUCACUUCUUUUGUUUUUCCUGUAGUUUUGAUGUGUGUAAUAUAUCAAGAAGGCUGACUGAAUGCUGGGCUAAUCAUCUCCCCGGUAGUGGGAAUCUGAAUACAGCAGCCAAGUUAAACAGUCUGCCCAAGGACAUGCCAGCAGAGAGUGAUAUGCUUCUGCUGUUUCAGACUGUGUGUGUUGUUUUCUGCUUUAAAGGCCAAAGACUCUUAACGCAGGAUGCCUUCCCCAACCUAGUGACCUCCAGAUGUUUUGAGCUACAACUCCCAUCAUCCCUUGAUCAUGCAGGCUGGGGCUGAUAGAAAUCCUGGAAGGCACCAAGUUGGUGAAGGCUAGCCGAUAAACUCAUGUGCAGUGUGAUACUGAACUGGCAACCCUGAUUGCCUCUCUUAUUUGUGUACAUAAGGCUGUACAGAGUCAACUACAUAGAGUUCGACUUCUCCCUCUAAGAUGAAAAAGCAGGCAUCACGUGGAGGGAGAUAGCACUACAUAUUUCAGCUUUCUUCAGCUUGGUGUCCUCUAGAUAUGUUGGCUUAAAACUCCUAUUAUCCUUACAAUUGGGCAUGCUAGCUGUGACUGAUGGGAAAUAUACCCCAACAACAUCAGGAGGACACUGGGUUUGGGAAGACUUGGUUUAUUGCUCAGGUGCUCUCCUGGGGAACAUUGCUGGUUGCAAGAGGUUUCAUUUUAGUCACAAAUAUUUAGAACUUGAAAUAACCUCCUGAAUAUUUGUGACUUAGGAGAAGCUUGUCUUUUCAGCACUUGAUAAAGCUGUACUGUACUGGAAUUUGCAUUCCUUUAAUACAUCUCUCUAUUCUUCCAACGUAAAUAACCAGAUGAUGCCUCCUAGAUGGUAGUACCUGUAAUGAUUUACUGAUACUUGGGUCCAGGAGAAUCCUACACAUUUAAAUAAAACAUUUUACCAAUUGUGUCAUUAUUUUAAUACUUGACUUCAAAAGCCAGACCUGUUCCCUGUGUGGCUUUGUUUUUUGCAUUAAAAAACAAGUGUUGAUUCAAUUUGUUUGAUGAAGGGUCAUGGAUCCAGUUUCAGAUUUCUAAGUAUAGGCGUGGCAGAUUUGUUGGUAUGAACAGUACCUGAACUUACAGUAGUAUAAUUUAUUAGGCCAGCCGAAAUAUCCCAAAGGUAGGGUUCAAGCUUUCAGGUUCACCAGAUCUCUUUUUCAGGCUGGAUAUUAAGUCAAAAGGGAUGGGGGAAGAUGUUGAUGAUUGUGAUGAGAGAGCUCAUAUCUGCAACUGAACAUUUAAGAUGGAAUAGAGAAGAUCCUAAAUACACUUACUGAGGAGUACUUAGCGGGGGCUUACUCCUCAUGAAAUCAGUUAGCGUUUUGAGAUUUUAUUUAUUAUUAAAUUUUCCGCAGUGCUUUUAUCGUUGCAAGUGCAUCUCUGUCACUGGAGGAGCCAAAACUGGAUGGUGGAAUGGGAGGAUAGGAGUGGUGUCAAAUUCUAAGCACCCCCUGUGUCUUCUAUAGGUACAUCAGCCUGGCAUCCUGCGUUGCAGGGGCUUGGCCUAGAUGACCCUGGAGGUGCCUUCCAACUCUACAAUUCCAUGAUUACACCAACAAAAGAGAACCCAUACAGGUAUAUCGCCUCAGGACACAAGCAGCCAACAACACCUCUCAUCUGUAGCCAAGGAUGCAAGAACAAAGCACCUUGAAGAGGAUCGUGACAGCCUGGACACAUGGAACAGGACAAAUGCAGUACCCAGAGUUCUGUUGUAACUCCCUAAAAGAGAGGUGCAGAGAACAGGACACAUUCCACCCCCAGUGCCAUGCAGAUCUCAAGUGAAGCCUAAAGCUAGACCAGCAGUUACGACUAUUGUGAUUCUAGCCAUAUAUAUCAAUCCAGCUACCUUGUAGAAAAGUGAGAUUGUGUAAAUUGAAAUAUCUGAUACUGUGCAAUAAAAGUUUUCAUUUGCGGCAA